GGAAAUUAAAUUAUUAAAAUGAGAAAUGAGCAUGCAGUAUUUGCUGAUAUAUAUCCAGUAUUGAUGAAUGGUAACAUUUUUAAUUUCUAAUUUUGGACAGUAACCAUUAUGGUACCAAUAUUGUGUAAACUGAAAUUUAAACCUUAGUAUAUUGCUUAUAAAGGUUUUGCAGAUUUUGGAAGAAAAAGAUACAGAAUAGGCUGGUCCAUCACUGCCACAUUAUUAAUCAUAUUACAAACACACCUAGUAUUAGAAAUAUUAUGUGGGAAUAUUCUGGUUUUUGGCUUGUUUUUAUCCUUUGUGUGUUUGAAGAGAGAAAUAGACUAGCAUGCUAAGACAGAGAUCUAUUGCACUGACUUCUCUGUUUCUUAUUUUCACGUUAUAUUAUGCAAAACAUUCCCCUCCACCACUUCAUUGCGCUCUCUCUCUCUCUCCCUCUCCCUCUCCCAGUGUCCUCUCCUCUCCUCCUCUCUGAAAUCCAAUCUGAGCUGUGCUCCACGUCUGAAUCAAAGAGGAAAAUCAGCUUGAUUUGGACUCCUGCUGAUCCAGAGGAUGUGUGUGCGUCUGGAUGUGCGUGCGCAUGCAGGGGGAGGGUCUGAGUCUAGCCCCGAUGCAGAGAUGGAUGCCAGUGGAGGUGUUUUGGCAUGGCUUUGGCGGAGCCUCGUUGCCAAGAGCGCAGGUCAGUGAGGCGUGGAGAGAACAUCCAAACAUGGCUUCUUUCCUCCACAGCCCUGGCAAGGCCAGCACCUCUGUUCUCUGCCCAAGCUACACAUGCUCCACAUUGGGAUCUGGACGCGCGGCCUGUGCGCUAACCGAAAAUCUGAUUUAUUGCCUUAAUGAUGCGAGUAAGUAUCGUCCCAUGACAGUUUUUUCCUGGAUUGUGUUAGCUUGUGGUUAACAGCUGGUUACAGCUGUACCAACUGAAGACUGGCAGCUGCAGUCACAACCGUCAUUUUUCAUUUCUGGGUCAAUGUAAUUGCUUUUUGUCUGACAUUAUUCAAAAAUACAUUAAAAAGGCAAUUCAUGCAUACAAUAACUUUAUAUACACUUCUAUGAUGAGCAUAUUUUUCAUUUUCAUGUUUUAUAUACAAGAUUCAAAGUUUUUGAAGGGUGUGAAAUCAGAAAUGCCAAGGUGAAACAACAGCAUGAAAGAAGAAAAAAAUAUCAUCAUUAAAAGGACGAAAUUAAUGAAAGAAAAAAAAAAGAAUCUUGUAUUAUUGUUCUUUAUAAAUAUUUUAGCAAUACUGCUGUACUACUCUUUACUAAAUAAAUAAACAUGUGGAGCCAUGUUAUCCAACAAGAUAAAAACUCAAAAAGGAAGUAACAUUAUGGAGAAGACCUCUGAAGACCCUCAUGACUGUGUGUCAUGGUUAAUAAGUAAAAAGUUGUAUGUUAUAAUGUGGUGCG
ensembl:lncRNA